rnacentral:rRNA from 1 species
AUUGAACGCUGGCGGCAUGCCUAACACAUGCAAGUCGAACGAGUGGCGGACGGGUGAGUAAUAUAUCGGAACAUGCCCGGUGGCGGGGGAUAACUACUGGAAACGGUAGCUAAUACCGCAUACUACUAGAUCUGCCCAUAUGGGAUUAGCUCGGUGGUGGGAUAAAGGCUCACCAAGGCAACGAUCCCUAGCUGGUUUGAGAGGAUGACCGGCCACACUGGAACGGAGACACGGCCCAGAUGCCUAGGGGAGGCAGCGGUGGGGAAUAUUGGACAAGGGGGGAAAGCCUGAUGCAGAAAUGCCGCGUGUAUGAAGAAGGCCUUCGGGUUGUAAAGUACUUUUGGCAGGGAGGCGGUACCUGCAGAAUAAGCACCGGCUAACUACGUGCCAGCAGCCGCGGUAAUAC